UACGGGGGGGGCAAGCGUUGUUCGGAAUUACUGGGCGUAAAGGGCUCGUAGGCGGCCAACUAAGUCAGACGUGAAAUCCCUCGGCUUAACCGGGGAACUGCGUCUGAUACUGGAUGGCUUGAGGUUGGGAGAGGGAUGCGGAAUUCCAGGUGUAGCGGUGAAAUGCGUAGAUAUCUGGAGGAACACCGGUGGCGAAGGCGGCAUCCUGGACCGAUACUGACGCUGAUGAGCGAAAGCGUGGGGAGCGAACAGG
rnacentral:rRNA from 1 species